rnacentral:rRNA from 1 species
UACGGAGGGUGCAAGCGUUAUCCGGAUUUACUGGGUUUAAAGGGUGCGUAGGUGGGUAGGUAAGUCAGUGGUGAAAUCUUCGAGCUUAACUCGGAAACUGCCAUUGAUACUAUUUAUCUUGAAUACUUUGGAGGUAAGCGGAAUAUGUCAUGUAGCGGUGAAAUGCUUAGAUAUGACAUAGAACACCAAUUGCGAAGGCAGCUUACUACACAGUUAUUGACACUGAGACGCGAAAGCGUGGGGAGCAAACAGG